rnacentral:lncRNA from 1 species
CCAGCUGUCGAGAAAGGCCUUGUCCUGAAUUAAGGCCAAUACAGGGCCUAAUGAGACACCAUCUUGAUUAGACACAAAGUAUUUGGAGACAUCAUUCAAACCGUAUAGUCUGUGAGAACCAUCGACAUCAUCAAGUGAGCAUUGAACAAUACCAUAGCUAGCCAGAAGCCUGAGUAUCCGGUCCAGCAUCAUGGGUGCGUCUUUGUUCUUGGUGGCGGGCAACUGAGCAGCAAUCUCUGAAGCUGAGAGCUUUGCUCCAGGACCAGCUUUGGCUAUGAUCUCGAAAAGUCCCAGCUUAAUAACUGCUUUCAUGGUCAUGUGGAGCACUGAACCCGUCACCAGUUCGCAGGCAUAUGCAAAGUUUUCGUCUCUCUGUUCAUUAGCCAUAUUUUCUCAAAUUUCCUUAUCUGUUUUCCUCAAAAACAAUGCAUUUAUAGCAUAAGUGGCUCUUCCUUUAGGCAAUUCAGGCGGUUGUCUAAGGCCCCACUAUAGAUGAAGGCCCUUAAUUUUAUUCCUAACUUAUAGUUAUUAUUAUUAAUUUAUGUUUGUUAUUAUUUUAUAAUUAUAUUUUCCAUAAACAAACUAUUAAAUCCUUAUAAAGUCCCCUUUUAACAUUAUAAUUAACAAUUAUAAUCCCAUUUAUUUCCUCCAUAUAUUUCAUCUAAAACUCUAUAAAGGCCACAUAUUUUUUUAAAUUAUUAUCCAUUAAUAUCUUUUUCCCAUAAAAAAAAGCACGAAACCUUCAUUACUUUGGUGAAAAUACUACUUUCUCUACCCUACUUUUCACUUAAGGAAAAAAAAAAACAAUUGUUUUACUAUUCAUUGAUCACUGCUACUCAAAGGCUCAAUACAUCAAAGUUGCUACUCAAAGGUUCAAUACAUCAAAGUUAAAGUUCUCAAAUUUCUAGGUUCUAUCUUUCCAUUCUCUUAUUAAUUAAUUAUGGUAUUCAGUUUUUUUUUUGUUUAAAAAUAUUAUUGUGUUCGUAGGUUGUUUUCUUGUAAUUAUCUAGUAAAAUUGUUUGCUUAAUUAUUCUUGUUUCACGAGAAAAAAGAAAUGUAUACUAAAAGAAAUAUGCAUUAGGAUACAAAAAACUUCAAAAACAAGAGAAGAAUAGAAAAGUUAGUUUAAUCUCAAAAAGGAGUUUUACUCAAUGAUUGGUCGUCCGUAUCUUUCUUUUUUGUCUCCCCAUGCUUUGAUUAGUCACUGGCGGUGGUAUUGCCGUUCUUGAAAACAUAUUCGAGUCAUUCUCCCAUGCUUCAUUCUAUGGCAUGUUUGGAAGGCUCGAAACACUCUCAGGUACGAUUAUGUUGCCUUUAAUGUGGAUACCGUUAUUUAUAGAGUGCUCCUGGAUAUUACGCUAGUCAGUGACAUGUUUGGUUUCAAGUCAUCUCAGUUGAGGGGUAUUUUUGAUACUCAUAUUGGGGAGGGAUUGCAGAUUAUCAUGCCUCCCCGUAGACCACCUUGAUUGGUUUCUUAGAUGAAACUGCGGCUGGGGGUGGUGAAGUUAAGCAUGGAUGGUUGUUCUAGGGGAAACCUAGGUAUGGCUGCUACUGGUGGUGUUUUGCGAGAUCUUAAAGGCGUGGUAUUAGCUGCCUUUGGCUCCUUUUUGGAGCACUAGUCUAUUCUUUUUCUGAAUUGACGGCUCUGUUAGAGGGUUUGGAUCUUGCUGCUUAGCUUGGUUUUUCUAAUCUUGAGGUGGUAUGUUAAAUUAUAUUUAAAUAAUAUUAACUAGCAUUUAAUUUGAUAUUUAAAUAUGAAUAUCAAUUAUUCAUGAAAUUUUAUAAUAAUAAGAAAAUUAAGUAUACUAUAAAUAAGUUAUUAGGUAGUCAUAAUAUAAUAAACAAAUGAAAAAGAAAUAAAACAAUUUAAAUAUUUAAUUAAUUUUUAUCAAAUAUUUAAAAAAAUUAUAGAAAAUCAAUUAAUUAUGGUAUUUUUAUUUUUCAUGAUUAUUUUUACCAUUUAUUAGUGAUUAUUAAACUUUGUACAAUCAUAAUGCAAUAAGUUAUUAAAUGGUUAAUUUAUAAAUUAUUAAAUAUAUAAGCAAUGAAAAUUAAAUCUCAAGAGUUAUUAGAAGUAAAACUGCCAAUUUAAUUAGAUAAUAGUAAUAAAUAAAAAAUCUUAAGUAAAUCAUAGGUAAAAAUUAAUUAAUUAAUUAAUAUUAACAAAAAUAUUUUUUUAAUCUUAUCCCAACUCAAUCCAUGUGUGAAUUAAGAUUACUAAUCUGUGAUUUUAUAAUUAAAUUCAAAUUUAGUCUCCUUUAAUCCAAUUCAAGUAAAUUUAUCAAAUAUGAAAUAAAUAUUUAAUUUUAAAAUUAGUCCAAUUCGAGAUUUAAUUCUGACAUCCAAACAUAGCCUUAGUUGCCAUAAAGGCAAUUUACAAAGAGUUGUAACUGAAAACAUUUAUAAAGCUUUUUUUUAAGAAAUUUUUUUUCAGGUUCAUAUAUAUAUAUAUAAUCUUUCAGCCAAUGAAGAGCCCGCCAAUCAGAGAAGUUAAUUUUUAAAUUUCUUUUUCGACGCCGGCACCAUCCCUGCAUCUUAUAGCUUUUUUUUUUCUUUUGAAAGACUCAAUCUUAUAGCUUUGAUUCCAGAUGAAUGAGGCUUUUCAUUCAUGUUAUUCUUUGAACGAUUGUGAUUCCGGAAGCUGCUGUCAAGACAAGAUUCCAGAGGCUGCUGAUAAGACAAAUUCAAAUUUACGUUUUUAAUAAUUAUUAUCUUUUCUAAGGAUUUAAAAAUUUAUAUGCGUAACGUACAGCUAAUGUAAUGUAAGUUUUACCUGAUGUAUGAGUUGAUGAACCAUCACGGUGAAAUCAAAAUAUAAAAAAAUAACAGAGGUCAAUAACCGCAACCAAAAGAAAAGAAAAAGUAAAACACAAAGAAAAUAAGGCCAUUGGAUUCGUUUUUUCAAUUUUUUUCCUGAAUAUUAAUACUUUAUAAUGAAGAACUUGUUAAUAUUUAUCAUAAAACUAUUGUUGAUACAAUCCUACGUCAAUUUUGUUAUAUUAUAGUACAAUUCAAAAGUUUUAUUUUAUUUAAAAAUAUAUUUAUCCUACCAUAUUUAUAAAAGAUAUUGGAAAAUAAUUAAAUUAAUUAAGAUAAAAGCUUUCUCCAAUCAUAGUUGCUCAAGUUUCAAGUGUGAAACAUUCACUAAAUUUUAUAAAAGUAUCUUCCCGCUUUUUCUACUUUAUAGCUUCUCUCUUUUUAUGAAAAAUAAAUCCUUAGCAAGUAUAGAUUUGGUUAGGGUAGAAACCUUUUUUGUAAUAGUAUUUGAUAACUUAGAAGACUGCACUUCUUCCAUCAAAGAAGUGAAAUUAAUACCUUUUAUCACUUCCAUUAUGAAAAUGAUCAGUAAACUAUGACACUAUCACUCGAAAUAAAUAAGUAGGUUAUUAAUACGAGUUUAUCUAGUUAUUUAUUUUUUAAAAAUCACUUAUCAUGUGGACUAUAUAAUGAAAAUUUAUGGAGAUAUAUGUACCCACAUUUAACUAUAUAAUUGAGAUAAGAAAUUAGAGGUCCAAGGAGUAGUAUUCAAAUCUGCAACGUCAAAGUUGAGGUUGUGACAGGCAAAAGAAAAAGGAUAAGCAUGUGUUUUUGGGAAAGGAACCCAUACAAACAAUUGCAAAUUAAGCAAAAAAUAACUUUUUUUCCUCUUUGUAUGGUAUAAUUGGAAUGUGUACAACAAACAAACAAGCCGAAAAAUAAACCAAUACAAUCUAAAAUAAUAAAUCAACCAUAAGAGACAGAUUUUUUAGAUGGAAAACUUAAAUUGAGCAAAAAAUCAUAGAACUGUAGUCCAAUAUAACCUUCCGUUAUAUUAAUAAUGGGAUUACAACACAAAUUCUUCUCCAGAUAGCAUUAGAGGCUAACAACAUCAAGAAUCUCAACAAUCUUGGCUUAUAGUAAUAAUCUAAUAUUUUUCUCUCUAACAAAUGGGUAAUCUCAAAUAAUAGCCAAUGAGAGAUAAAAUAAAAUCAAGACAGUAAGAUUGUAGAGGGUGAUACCAGAAACUUACUCUCCAAAUUUGGAAGAAAAUGGAAUUAAGUUUGCCAUACGAUCAUCCAAUCAAAGAUUAAAACCCUUACCUCCAAAUUGGAAUAAUCGGGUAUUGUAUUAUUUUUCUCUCUCAUCUUUAUACAUUUUUAAGUCUGCCGCUUCACUUAUUUACUUUUUCUUUUAUAUCCACGUGAUUUUGAAAGCCAAAUUUAAUGGUAAUUUUCAAUUAGUCAUAACGUGUUUCCUUUAACUCUUUAAACACCCAAACUAAUGGAAACUUUGAGUUGGGCCAAAAAAUGAAAUGUAUCUAACAAAUCUUCUCCACCAGAUUAUGUUGGGGACACCACCAAGCCCGUUCUCUGCUUAUAUUCUUUCAACUUCUCCUUGGGCAAUGACUUUGUCAUGAUAUCUGAACUAUUCUUCAUGAAUCUUCUCAGGCUGCAACUAUUUCUUUUCAGACACGUCUGUACCCAAAGAUAACUCACAUUCAUAUACUUGGGUUUCGAAUGGUAUGCUGAAAUCAUUACCAAGUAAAAGCACUUUUAGAUUAAAUUGGAUUAAGCUGGUUUAUAUUAUAAUGUCUUAUGUUUGGUGUAGUAUGCUGUGAAAACUUUUAAUAUACUUGCAAGCGCAUGAAUUGUGGUAACGAGGUCAAACCCACAUGGAUUGCUAUAAAUUGAAAAGUCUAAUUUUAAUCUAAAAUUAAUAUUAACCUUAACCUAGUUGAGCAAAUGGACUUUUAAGAGAAAUUAAUCUAAUUAAACUAAGAAAGAAAUUAAAACAAAGGAGAAUUCAAUAAGACAAAAAUUAUUAAGGUUUCAAAAUCCACCACUAUUUAAUUAGUAAAAUUAUCUAAUUGUUAAUUAAUCCUCAAUUUUAGAGUGACAACUCAAAAUUUUAUAAUAAUAAGUAAACAAAUUUAAAAAGCAAAUAAUAAGAAAAUUAAGUAUAUUGUAAAUAAUUUAUUAGGUAGUCGUAAUAUAAUAAACAAAGAGAAAAUAAAUAAAAAUUUAAAUAUUUAAUUAAUUUUUGUCAAAUAUUAAAAAAAUUAUAUAAAAUCAAUUAAUUAAGGAAUUUUUAUUUUCAUAAUUAUUUUUAAUAUUAUAUUAGUAAUUAUUAAAUUUUAAUCAAUCAAUAAAGCAAUAAGUUAUUAAAUGGUUAAUUUAUAAAUUACUAAAUACACAAGUACUAAAAAUUUAUUCUCAAGAGUUAUUAGAAGUAAAACUACCAAUUUAAUUUGAUCGUAGACAAUAAAUAAAAAAUCUUAAAUAAAUCACAAAUAAAAAUUAAUUAAUAAAUAAAUAUUAUUAAUUUUUUUCUUUAAUUUUAUACCAACUAAACCCAUGUGUAAAUUAGAAUUACUAAUCCUAUGAUUUUAAAAUUAAAUUCAAAUUUAGUCUCCUUUAAUCCAAUUCAAGUAAAUUUAACAAAUAUGAAAUAACUAUUUAAUCUUAAAAUUGACCCAAUUCGAUACUUAAUCCUGUCAUCCAAAUAUAGCAUUCGUUUCCUUAAAGGCAACUUACAAAGAGUUGUAACCGAAAACAUUUAUAAAGCCAUUUUUUUUUUCGGGUUCAUAUAUAUGUAUAUACUAGGAAAUAGAACCGUACUUCGUGCGGCUUUAAAAAAAGAAUUUAGUAUUAUUUUUUUUAUUACUUUACACUUGAUAAAACUGAUAAAAAAUAUGAAUUGAUUUUUUUUUAAAGAUGAUGCAGCCUUAUAAAACUAAUGUUAUUUAUGAAAGUUAAUUAUUUUUUUGUUAACUUUAAAAAUAUAUAUUAAUGUGUAUAGUUAAGUGUAAACAACCUUUUCAUCAAUAAAAAUUAUGUUCACACUAAUCAACUCUCAAUUCUUCUUGGUAUUAACAGACUCCUACAUUUUACAAAGCCUAACCCUUAUCAUCUAACUAUCUUUAUCAUUGUUUAACUCAUGAAGAAAAGAAUAUUAUAUGAAGCACACAAUACAAAAAAAUUAAAUAAGUCAAAAAAUAAAAACACAAGAACAUUUCUAAAGAGGAUGUUGGUUAAAUUAAAAAAAAAUCCAAACAUAACAAAUCUUAAAUACUUAAUAUUUAUAUAGUUUAAAGAAGCCAAAAGACACUAAAUAAAAGGUUGCAUAAUUAAAUAUGAAAUUAUGACAUUGAAAUUAGGUCCUAGUGGUAUUGGUGAUGGAAGAUGAAAGAACCUUCCUUCCUAUAUUAAUUAGUUGAUGUAUUUUAAACCACUAAAGUUUAGUUGUUGGCUUAAUAAAAUAAAUGAAUGUUUCAAAACUAUAAUUAAUUUAUUAUUAAUGGUUACAUAUUGUUGAAUUUAAAUAGAAAGAAGAAGAGACAUGUAAUCUUUUAUAAUCUACUAAUUAUUUUCUAUUUUUAAUAUUUUGUAAUGUAAUUAUUUUUUAAUCUCAACCAAUAUAUUAGAUUAUAGAGAAUAUAAAAAGAUGAGAAAUAAUAAUGGUACAAAUCUUAACUACUUAAUAUUUAUAGAGUUUGAAGAAACCAAAAGGCACUAAACAAAAGGUUACAUAAUUAAAUAUGAGAUUAUAACAGUAAAAUUAGACCCUAAUGGCAUUAUUGAGGGAAGAUGAAAGAACAUUCCUUCCUAUAUUAAUUAAUUGAUAUAUUUAAGCCCACUAAAGUUUAGUUGUUGGCUUAAUAAAAUAAAUGAAUGUUUCAAAACUAUAAUUACCAAUUUAUUAGAUAAUAGAGAAUACAAGAAGAUGAGAAAUAGUGAUGCCACAUCACCUCCUCUAGUCCCAACUUUAUAUAUAUAUAUCAAAUAUAUAUAUAUAUAUAUAUAUAGAUAUAGAUUUUUAAUAUUUUGUAAUGUAAUUAGUUUUUAAUCUCAACCAAUAUAUUAGAUAAUAGAGAAUAUAAACAGAUAAGAAAUAAUGAUGCAACAAAUCUUAAAUAUUUAAUGUUUAUGGAGUUUGAAGAAGUCAAAAUACACUAAACAAAAGAUUGAAUAAUUAAAUAUGAGAUUAUGACAUUAAAAUUAGGCUCUAAUAGCAUUGUUGAGGGAAGAUGAAGGAACCUUCCUUCAUAUAUUAAUAUUAAUUAAUUGAUGUAUUUUAAGCCACUAAAAUUUAAUUGUUGGCAUAAUAAAAUAAAUGAAUGUUUCAAGACUUAUAAUUAAUUAUUAUUAAUGGUUACAUAUUGUUGAAUUUAAAUAGAAAGAGGAAAAGACAUGUAAUCAUUUAUAAUCUAAUAAUAAUUUUCUAUUUUAAUAUUUUGUAAUGUAAUUAUUUUUUAAUUUCAACUAAUUUAUUAAAUAAUAGACAAUAUGAAAUUAUGAGAAAUGGUGAUGCCACAUCACCUCUUGUAGUCCCAACUUUAUAUAUAUGUAUAGAUAUAAUCUUUCCGCCAAUGAAGCGCCUGCCAAUCAGAGAAGUUAAUUUUUUUUUUUAAUUUCUUUUUCGAUUGUGAUUCCGGAGGCUGCUGUCAAGACAAGACUCCAGAGGCUGCUGAUAAGAAAAAAUCAAAUUUACCUUUUUAAUAAUUAUUAUCUUUUCUAAGGUUUAAAAUUUUAUAUUGGUAACGUACAGCUAACGUAAUGUAAGUUUUACCUAAUGUAUGAGUUGAUGAACCAUCACGGUGAAAUCAAAAUAUCAAAAAAUAACAGAGGUCAAUAACCGCAACCAAAAGAAAAGAAAAAGUAAAACACAAAGAAAAUAAGGCCAUUGGAUUCGUUUUUUCAAUUUUUUUCCUGAAUAUUAAUACUUUAUAAUGAAGAACUUGUUAAUAUUUAUCAUAAAACUAUUGUUGAUACAAUCCUACGUCAAUUUUGUUAUAUUAUAGUACAAUUCAAAAGUUUUAUUUUAUUUAAAAUAUAUUUAUCCAACCAUAUUUAUAAAAGAUAUUGUAAAAUAAUUAAAUUAAUUAAGAUAAAAGCUUUCUCCAAUCAUAGUUGCUCAAGUUUCAAGUGUGCUCUACAUUCAUUAAAUUUUAUAAAAGUAUCUUCCCGAUUUUUCUACUUUAUAGCUUCUCUCUUUUUAUGAAAAAUAAAUCCUUAGCAAGUAUAGAUUUGGUUAGGGUAGAAACCUUUUUUGUAAUAGUAUUUGAUAACUUAGAAGACUGCACUUCUUCCAUCAAAGAAGUGAAAUUAAUACCUUUUAUCACUUCCAUUAUGAAAAUGAUCAGUAAACUAUGACACUAUCACUCGAAAUAAACAAGUAGGUUAUUAAUACGAGUUUAUCUAGUUAUUUAUUUUUAAAAAAAUCACUUAUCAUGUGGACUAUAUAAUGAAAAUUUAUGGAGAUAUAUGUACCCACAUUUAACUAUAUAAUUGAGAUAAGAAAUUAGAGGUCCAAGGAGUAGUAUUCAAAUUUGCAACCUCAAACUUGAGGUUGUGGCAGGCAAAAGAAAAUGGAGAAGCAUGUGUUUUUGGGAAAAGAACCUGUACAAACAAUUGAAAAAAACCAUGAACCGUAGUCCAUUUUAACCUUCCGUUAUAUUAAUAAUGAGAUUACAACACAAAUUCUUCUUUAGAUAGCAUUAGAGGCAAUGGCGAAGCUAAGGGUUGGCUAACCCGGGCUACAACCCAGGUUAGCUUUUUGAAAAAAAAUAAUAAUUAAUUAUAGUUUAUGAAUUUGUCUUUAUUAAUACUUAUAAAAAAUUAAAAAUAAAUUUAAUAGCCCACCCCAAAAUACGGUGCUAGCUUCCCCACUGAUUAGAGGUUAACAACAUUAAAAAUCUCAACAAUCUUGGCUUAUAGUAAUAAUCUAAUAUUUUUCUCUCUAACAAAUGGGUAAUCUCAGCUAAUAGCCAAUGAGAGAUAAAAUAAAAAUCGAGACUAGUAAGAAUGUAGAGGGCGAUACCAGAAACUUACUCUCCAGAUUUGGGAGUAAACGGAGUUAAGUUUACCUUCCGAUCGUCCAAUCAAAGAUUAAAACCCUUACCGCCAAAUUCGAGUAAUCGGCCACUGUAUUCUUUUUCUCUCACAUCUUUUGUACAUUUUUAAGGCUGCCACUUCACUUAUUUACUUUUUCUUUUAUUGCCACGUGAUUUUGAAAGCCAAAUUUAAUGGUAAUUUUCAAUUAGUCAUAACCUAUUUCCUUUAAUUAUUUAAACAUCCAAACUAAUGGAAACUUUGAGUUGGGCCACCCAAAUGAAAUGGAUCUAACAAAUCUUCCCCACCAGAUUAUGUGAGGGACACCGCCAAGCCCGUUCUCUGCUUACAUUCUUUCAAGUUUCAACUUUUCCUUAGGCAAUGACUUUGCCAUCAUAUCCGACCUAUUCUUCAUGAAUCUUCUCAGGUUGCAAUUAUUUCUUUUCAUGCACAUCUUGUUCCCAAUGAUAUCUUACAUCAAUAGACUAGGAUUUCGAAUGGUAUGUUGAAUUCAUUGCCAAGUGAAAGCACUUUAACUAUUACAGUACACGACAUAAUUGUCUUUUUUCACAUCCAGCUUUUGUAAGAAAUUCUUCACCACAAGAUUCAAAGAAACCUUCAGUAAUUGCAUUAAAUAAAUAAAGAAAAGCAAACAAAUACUUCACUUUUGAUGAAACUUUCAAUUAUCAUUCUUUAUGACUUUAAGCUACAUUUACCAUGCAAAAUUAGACUGGACUAAUUAUUAUAAUAAGACUGGAUUAGAUUAAAUUGGAUUAAGCUGGUUUGUAAUAUAUUGUCUUAUAUUUGGUGUAGUACUCAAUUGUACUAUGUUAAAUUAUAUUUAAAUAAUAUUAAAUAGCAUUUAAGUUGAUAUUUGAAUAUGAAUAUCAAUUAUUCAUGAAAUUUUAUAAUAAUAAGUAAAUAAAUUUAAAGAGCAAUUAAUAAGAAAAUUAAGCAUAUUGUAAAUAAGUUAUUAGGUAGUCAUAAUAUAAUAAACAAAUAAAAAAGAAAUAAAAAUUUAAAAAUUUAAUUAAUUAUUAUCAAAUAUUUAAAAAAAUUAUAUAAAAUCAAUUAAUUAUGGUAUUUUAAUUACAUUUUAUACAAUCAAUAAUGCAAUAAGUUAUUAAAUGGUUAAUUUAUAAAUUAUUAAAUACACCGGUAAUGAAAAUUUAUUCUCAAGAGUUAUUGGAAGUAAAACUUACCAAUUUAAUUAGAUCAUAGAUAAUAAAUAAUAAAUCUUAAGUAAAUCAUAAAUAAAAAUUAAUUAAUUAUAUAAUAUUUAUAAAUAUUUUUUUUUUAAUUUUAUACCAACUAAACACAUGUGUAAAUUAGGAUCACUAACAUGAUGAUUUUAAAAUUAAAUUUAAAUUUAGUCUCCUUUAAUACAAUUCAAGUAAAUUUAUCAAAUAUGAAAUAAAUAUUCAAUCUUAAAAUUGAUCCAAUUCGAUACUUAAUCCUGACAUCCAAAUAUAGCCUUGGUUGCCUUUAAGGCAAUUUACAAAGAGCUGUAACCGAAAAAUUUAUAAAGCCAUUUUUUUUUUUUUGGGGUUCAUAUAUAUGUAUAUAUAUAAUCUUCCCGCCAAUCAGAGGUGUUAAUUUUUUUUUAAAAUUUCUUUUUCGAUUGUGAUUCCGGAGGCUGCUGUCAAGGCAAGACUCCAGAGGCUGCUGGUAAGUCAAAUUCAAAUUUACCUUUUUAAUAAUUAUUAUCUUUUCUAAGGUUUAAAAUUUUAUAGGGGUAACGUACAGCUAACGUAAUGUAAAGUUUACCUGAUGUAUGAGUUGAUGAACCAUCACGGUGAAAUCAAAAUAUAAAAAAAUAACAGAGGUCAAUAACCGCAACCAAAAGAAAAGAAAAAGUAAAACACAGAGAAAAUAAGGCCAUUGGAUUCGUCUUUUCAAUUUUUUUUUCUGAAUAUUAAUACGUUACAAUGAAAGAACUUGUUAAUAUUUAUCAUAAAAGAUUGUUGAUACAAUCCUACGUCAAUUUUGUUAUAUUAUAGUACAAUUCAAAAGUUUUAUUUUAUUUAAAAAUAUUUUAUCCUACCAUAUUUUUAAAAGAUAUUGUAAAAUAAUUAAAUAAAUUAAGAUAGAAGCUUCCUCCAAUCAUAGUUGUUCAAGCUUCAAGUGUUCUCUACAUUCACUAAAUUUUAUAAAAUUAUUUUCCUACUUUUUCUACUUUACAGCUUUUCUCUUUUGAUACAAAAUAAAUCCUUAGCACGCGUAGAUUUGGUUAGGCUAGAAACCUUUGUUAUAAUAGUUUUUUUAUAACCUAGAAGACUACACUUCUUCCAUCAAAGAAGUGAAAUUAAUAAACUUUAUCAUUUUAUAAUGAAAAUGAUCAGUAAACUAUAACGCUAUCACUCGAAAGAAAUAAGUAGAUUAUUAAUAUGAGUUUAUCUAGUUAUUUUGUUUUUAAAAUCACUUAUCAUGUGGACUAUAUAAUGAAAAUUUGGGGAGAUAUGUCUACCCACAUUUAACUAUAUAAUUGAGGUAAGAAAUUAGAGGUCCAAGGAGCAGUAUUCAAAUCUGCAACCUCAAAGUUGAGGUUGUGGCAAGCAAAAGAAAAAGAAGAAGCAUGUGUUUUUGGGAAAAUAACCUGUACAAACAAUUGCAAAUUUAACAAAAACUAACUUUUUCCCUUUUUGUGUGAUAAAAUCGGAAUGUGUACCAUAAAUAAAUAGGCAGAAGAUAAACAAAUACAAUCUAAAAUAAUAAAUCAACCAUAAGAGAUAUAGAUUUUUUAGGUGAAAAACCUAAAUGAAGAAAAAAAAAAAAACCACAGAACCUUAGUCCAAUAUAACCUUCCGUUAUAUUAAUAAUGGGAUUACAAGACAAAUUCUUCUUCAGAUAGCAGUAGAGGUUAAUAACAUGAAGAAUCUCAACAAUAUUGGCUUAUGGUAAUAAUCUAAUUUUUUUCUCUCUAACAAAUGGGUAAUCUCAGGUAAUAGCCAAUGAGAGAUAAAAUAAAAAUCAAGACUAGUAAGAAUGUAGAGGGCGAUACUAGAAACUUAUCCUCUAGAUUUGGGAGAAAACAGAGUUAAGUUUACCUUCCGAUCAUCCAAUCAAAAAUUAAAACCCUUACCUCCAAAUUGGAUUAAUCGGCCACUAUAUUCUUUUUCUCUCUCAUCUUUUCUACAUUUUUAAGGCUGCCGCUUCACUUAUUUACUUUUUCUUUUAUAUCCACGUGAUUUUGAAAGCCAAAUUUAAUAGUAAUUUUCAAUUAGUCAUAACCUUUUUUCUUCAAUUAUUUAAACAUCCAAACUAAUGGGAACUUUGAGUUGGGCCACCCUAAUGAAAUGGAUCUAACAAAUCUUCCCCACCAAAUUAUGUGGGGGACACAACCAAGCCUAUUCUCUCCUUACAUUCUUUCAACUUCUCCUUAGACAACGACUUUAUCAUCAUAUCCGACCUAUUCUUCAUGAAUCUUCUCAGGCUACAACUAUUUCUUUUCAAGCAGGUCUUGUAUCCAAUAAUACUCACAUCAAUAUGCUUGGAUUUCGAAUGGUGUGUUGAAUUCGUUUCCAAGCGAAAGCACUGUGAUUAUCACAAUACAUGCCAUAGCUAUCUUAUUUAACAUCUUGCUCUUGUAAGAAAUUCUUCACCAAGGUUUUAAAGAAACCUUCUGUGAUUGCAAUAUAUAUAUAUAUUUUGGUGGAGAAAACAAUACGAAAUUUGAAAUCCUCUGAGUAUACUCCCCUGUAAAGGUAAGCAAAUAUCUUGAUGAGAAUUUUCUAGAAUCAACAUCUCUUGCCCUAUCUGCAAUACACUUGUAGCACAAGUUGACACCAUUAAAAUCUAAACAUGCCUUGGAAAUGACUUUGAGGUAUCUGGGAAUCCACUUUAUUGCUGUCUAGUGUCUUUGCCCAAAUUAUAAAGAGACUAGCUGAGUACACCCAUUGCAUGAGCAAUAUUUGAUACAAGCCAUGGCGUACAUUAGCCUGCCAAGUGCUGAAGCAUAAAAAACUCCUUUCAUCUCUUACCUCUCUUUCUCACUUGUAGGACAAUGCUCGGAACUAAGCUUAAAAUGACCCGUAAGUUGAGAACAAAUAUAUUUUUCCUUGUUUAUUUUAAUUUUUUCAAGAACACUUUCAAUUUAUGCUUCUUGAGAUAACCAUAACUUGCUAAUUUUUAUGUCGUGGGAAAUCAUCAUGCCAAGAAUUUAUUUGCCGGUCCUUGGUAUUUUAUUUAAAUAACUUGCUAAAUUUUUUCUUUAGAUUAUCAAUCUUACUAGCAUUGUGGUCAACAAUCAACAUAUCAUCUAUAUAAAGCAAAAGAAUGAUAAAAUUAUUAUCACCAAUCUUCUUUACAAAAAGACAAUAGUCAGACAUAAUCUUGCUAAAACUGUGAUUCUUUAUAAAAGAAUCAAACAUUUUGUACCAUAGUCUUGGUGCUAUUUCAGUCCAUACAAACUUUUCUUCAACUUGUGUACAAUUUCUUUGUUGCCUUUGACAUUGAAUCCUUCAGGUUGCUCCAUUUAUAUUUCCUCCUUUAAGUCGCGAAGAAAGAAACUCGAUUACCUCAUUCUCAUAUCCUAGAGACUUUCUAUCCAUCAACAUCCAAGAUUUAUCCAUAUUUAGACUAUUAAAUUUCCUGCAAAUGCAUCACAUUUCAUUCAUUCAUUUUAUUAAUAUUGGAGUUUGAUAUUGUUUCCAACCAUAAGAACAAUAUUAAAAUUACAAAAUCAACAAAAAAAACAGUUAAAAUAUAAUAAAAAAAUAACACUUAACAGCAAGAGAAAACCUAUAUCUUCAUCAUGACUAAUUAUAGCAGUAAUAUUACAAGCCAUAUACCAUAAAUCAUGAAAAGAGCAAAUAAUAUAAUUUUGAAAAAAUAGAGAAAUAGAAAAAAAAAAAAAAACAAAACAAAAGUACCUUUUGUUAUUGCUUCAAGAAUCACGGAACUAGUAACAACUUAAGAGACUAAGUCGCGACUAAAAAUAGAGAAGAAUAGAAGCAAGACUCGUUUUUUGAUUUCUACUAAAAAAGACAAAAUGAAUUAAAUAAAACUUGUCCACGACAAUAAACUAGCUAGCUAUUGUAAUGAUUUAAACAAUCCAUAAAUAAAGUAUUAAAUUAAUAUGCAAAUGUCACAUGUAGUAAAACAACAUAUACAGUAUUAUGAAAUUUCAACAGCGAAAUUAGGUGUUGAAACCGUUAAAUAAAAUCCUUUUUCCAUUAGAGAUCUAAAUUUUGAGAAUUUUGGUUUAGCUUACUUUAGUCAAACUCAAUCACUCUGUAGAGUGACUGAUGGGCAUAAUUUAUAUACAUAUUGUACCAUUAAUUAUAUAAUUAUUAGUUUUUUUUAUUUUUUUAUUUUUAAUUAAUUAAAUUAUUUUAUUGAAUAGGAAAUUAAUUGAAGAUUAAGGAUAAAAAGUGCAUGUGGAAGUUCAAAUUGGGAAGGAAUAAAAAUUAAAUUGAAAGACAAAAAUGCAGCAAAAAAUUAACGGAAGUCAAGAAGACCAAAAUUGGAAUUCAAUCUCUUCAAAUAAUGAACGGUGGGCAUGCAGUUGGAAAGCAAAGAUUUGGCAAUUUGGAAUGCAUGUGCAGGGUAUUAAAAAAAAGAAAUUAUUAAUUGGCCUUUUGCUUUUAAGUUAAACGUGUGGCUAGCUUUCAAACCUUAAUAAGGAAACAAUUUAAAAAGGGUUUGGUGAGUGGGCUUUGUUAACUCGGUGGGUGGCUAAGCAUUAUAAAAAGCCGAAUUUGGCUUUUGAAAGAGCAGCCACCAGAGGAGAAGCCGCAAGAAAGAGAAGAAAAAGAGCAGCAGCAGAUCAAAUUUCCCAUCGCUGGUUUUAUUUUAUUCGUUACUCCCAAUUCAAGUAUGUCUAACUAAUUUUCUUAUACUGAGAUUAAGGAUGAAGCCUUAUUCAAUGAAAUAAUUAUCUUUUAAUCAAUUCCCUAUAUAUGUUCUUUGAUGAUUAUGGUUUUUGUUUCAUAUGAUUAGUUGAAUGUUAUUAAAUUCUUUUCACCAAUUCUGUCAUGCGUUAUUGAUUGUUAAGAUUAAUAUUUGACUAAAUCUAUUCUUGGAUCUAUGAAGUCUAUACAUGAUUAUCUUUGAUUUUGUGUCUUUCAUUAAAUUAUUUACAUAGAGUGCUUAGGAAACUUUGACUCUUUUUUAUUCAAUAUGUUUACAUGGGAUGCUUAGAUAUCAUACUAUUAAGCAGAAAAGAACCUACAUUAGAUUUAAUUACUUGGGCUUAAUUGUUAUAUCUAUGAGAUGACAUAAAUUGAUUUUGAGCUGUCACUCUAAAAUUAGGGAUUAAUUAAUAAUUAGAUAAUUACUAGUUGAAUAGUGAUGGAUUCUGAAACCUUGAUAAUUUUUUUCUUAUUGAAUUCUUAUUUGCUUUAAUUGUUUUCUAAGUUUAAUACUCAAUUUGUUCAACUAGGUUAGAAUUAAUAUUAAUUUUAGAUUUAAAUUAGACUUUUCAAUUUAUAACAAUUCCUGUGGGUUUGACCUUGUUACCACUAUUCAAUUUCUAGAUUCGUGUGCUUGCGAGUAUAUUAAAAUUUUUCACAACAUGUUUUUGGCACUGUUGCCGGGGAUUGUGCCAGAAAGUCAGUUUAAUCUAGGUUGAUUUGAUUCUUCCACUAGUUAUAAUUUAUGUUGUCUUUUUUUUUAUAUAUAAAAACAAUGUAAUUUUUUAUUAUUAUUUGUCUUUAAAUUCAUUGUUUGGUUGUUUUAUUUCUUUUAUUUUAAAUUUCAUUUAUUUUUAUUAUUUUUGUUUUAUUUUUCUUUGUCUAGUUAGUUUAUGAGUGUUUGGGAACGCGAUUCAAUAAAUCGUUUGGUCAAAAAGGAGUCCAAGGUUGAGAGUAAUCAAGCUAGUUCUUCUCAAGUGAUGGAUGACCUAAAUAGAAUAUUGCCAAUACUACCACCAGUGCAAGCAGAGAAAACCCUUAGAGAAUAUAUUUCACCACUUGCAGCCAACCAACCAUCUUGUAUUGUGUUGCCACAAACUACAACAACACACUUUGAUUUUAAGCCCUGUGUCAUUCAACUUUUACCAUCUUUCCAUGGGUUAGAGAGAGAAGAUCCAUAUUUGUACAUUAAGGAAUUUCUUGACAUAUGCUCUACAUUUCGUUUUCAAAAUUUUAAUGAUGAGUCAAUUAGGCUUCGUAUGUUCCCUUUCUCAUUAAAAGACAAAGCGAAAGCUUGGUUGAAUUCACUUCUUGCUGGGUCUAUUACUACAUAGGAUGAAUUGAGUAACAAGUUCCUCACCAAGUUUUUCCCUAUGUCUAAAACAAAUGCCCUUAGGAGAGAGAUAAGUGAUUUUUAUCAAAGAGAGGGUGAACAAUUGUACGAGUGUUGGGAAAGAUUCAAUUAUUUACUCCUCAAGUGUCCCCACUAUGGUUUUGAGAAAUGGAGACUUAUACAAUUCUUUUAUAAUUGUUUAAUCAUGUCAAAUCGUCAUAUGGUAGAGUUUAUGAAUGGUGUAAGAUUUUUGAACCUACAUGAAAGGGCUGCAUGGAAUUUCUUUACUUCACUUUUUGAGAAUUCUCAAUAGUGAGAUUUUUCAAAUUAAAGAGAAAAAUCAUCUCAACUUUUUAGAAAGGGUCUUUAUGAAGUUUAGGAUGAUUUUGAUGUGAAAGCCACUCUAGCUACUCUUUCUAGGAAAGUAGAUGCCUUAGCUAUGAACCAAUCCGUGAAUUAUCAUCCUAGUGUAGCAAAUGAGGUUUGUGCUCUUUUUUUCUAACUUGUCUCAUACAGCGCAUAAUUUUCCAUCAUUACCGGCCUAUCAAGAGGCCUAUUCUGAGUAGGUACAUGUCCUGCAAUCAUAUGAGAAAACCUCCAAUAGUUCAUAUUCACCAUAAUUCUAAUUGGAGGAAUCACCCUAAUUUUUCUUGGAAACAAAAUCAACCUUUGUCAAACCAAGGAGGACAACAAUUUAGCAUGCCCAAUCAACAAUUUGUCCCUCCUCCCUCCUACCCAAGUAUAUCCCCAUGCCCAACAACCUGUCUCAAUUUGCUGCACCCCAACAAAGAAAACCUUCUUUAUAGGGUACACUUCAAACAUUCAUUCAGUCAACCCAACAAGCCUUUCAGUCAAACACGCAAGCUAUUCUAAAUCUUGAACAUCAAUUGGGUCAAUUAGCAACUAUUGUGGCUGAGAGAGAAAAAGGAAAAUUCCCAAGUCAAUUAGUUCCAAAUCCUAAAGGAGUGCAUGAAGUUGGAUCGAGUUCAAGCCAUCAGCAUGAAGAAGCAAAAUCUAUUAUGACCUUGAGAAUAGGAAAGUUAUUUGACAAUAAGGUAGAGGUUCGAACAAGAAAGACAUCUGAACCUGGUUCUUCAGAUUCAUUUUCAUCACAAGACUCAUCGCCAAAUGAUCAAGAAUAAACUGGCCCACCAGCUUACAUUCCUAAGGCUCAUUUUCCUUAAAGGUUAGCAAAGGUAAAGAAAGGGACUUCAACAUGUGAGAUUAUGGAAAUCUUCAAGCAGGUAAGUAUAAACAUCCAUUUACUUGAUGGUAUUAAGCAAGUUCCUUCCUAUGGCAAGUUUUUUAUGGAUUUAUGCACUAACAUGUUACCAAAAAUGCAUUUUUAACUGAACAAACUAGCAAUUUACUUCAAUAUAAAAUGCCACCAAAAUUUAAGGAUCCAGAUUCUCCUAUUAUCUCAUGUGUUAUAGGGAACCAAUUGUUUGAUAAAAUAUUAUUGGAUUUAGGCAGUAGUGUUAAUUUCUUGCCUCAUUUUGUUUACAGGCAGCUUGGAUUAGGUGAAUUAAAGCCAACUUCCAUUAUUUUGCAGCUUACUGAUAGGUCAAUAAAAAUGCCUCGUGGUAUUAUAGAGGAUGUGUUGAUACAUAUUGACAAACUUUAUUAUCCUAUUGAUUUUAUUGUUAUUAAUACUCUGGAUGUACAUGAUCCUAAGAAACACACCCUAGUUAUUCUAGGUCAUCAUUUCUUAGCUACAAUUAAUGCUCAUAUUAGUUGCAGGACCGGAAACAUGCAAUUGUCUUUUGGUAACAUAACCAUGGAAUUAAAUAUUUUUAAUGUUCCCAAGCAGGCAUAAGACGAUGAUGAAGUCGUUGAAGUAGAUAUGAUAGAAGCAUCAAUUGAUGACUAAUUUAUUUUUAACCACUGUGACAAUCCAUUAACACCAUGCACAGCUAACUCUAAUUUAUCUUUUGAUGUUGACAGUGGUACUGAAGAAGUUAAUGCUUUACUUGAUUCAACUCUGAUCAUAAAUCUAAUGAAGUGGAAAGAAAAGAUUGAGCCACUUUCUCCUGAAGAGAAAAUUAAACCAUUCAAGUUGGAGCUACUUCUUAAAGAAUAGUCACAUUCUGACACGAAAAAGGUGGUAAGAUCUAAAGUGCUUUAAUUAUUAGAUUUUUAUACUGCUUCAGAUAACUCUCAGGUAAGCUUGGAACAGAAGAGAUCAACGCAGUGCGAUACUGAGGAGUUUCAUUACCAUCAUCCUUUUAUAGAUAAAAUGCUCCAGUGCUUAGUCAAUUAUAUUUUCUGGUAUUUUCUGUAUAAUUACUUUGAUUUUCACCAAAUUCUUAUUGAUCUUGGUUGAUUUGUUGUUUACAUUAAUUAAUUAGUUUAGUAGGAUUUUAUUUAUUUUUCUUUUUUUAUUAUUUAUAUUUCUUCAAAUGUUUUCUUUUUAGUUGUCAUUUUCUUUUAAGUGUGUUCUCUCCAACAUUUUCUUCUAUUAUUUACGUUUUUUAAUCUUUUUGCAUGCAUGUCUUUUAUUUAUGAAUCAUUGAGGACAAUGUUCCGAAUAAGUUUGGGGGUGAGAAUAGUGUGUGUUUUGUUUGUUAUUAAAAAAACCAAAAAAAAUUCAAAAAUUAAAAAAAAAAAUUCUUUUUGUUUUUAUGUGAAAAGCCAAUGAUAAGAAUUUGAUUGACAAUGAAUAUGAUUCUUAGAAAAAGUUGAAUAUUGUCUUAGUUUAUACUUGGUUUUUGUGUUAAUUCCUCUUGAUUGAGAUUCUAUAAACACCAUAAGCACUAACAUCAAUUCUUUCAUAAUUUUAACUUGAAAUUUGAUAUUGACGCAGCCUAAGUUGAUAAUUUUAGAGAGAGUAAAUGACUAUUUGUCUCGAUUCUUAUCUCCAUAGUACAAAAUAGUAUACACAGACGCCUGGUUGUUGAUAUUGAAGAUUUUGGAAAUGGAUUUGAUUGAAUUGAUUUCACACACACACUACAAGAAUUAAAAGAGAGAUAGGAUUAACUGUUGAAUUAAAGUUAGAACUUUGCCAAUAUUUGAAAUUUUCUUUGAGCUAUAUAAUUUAUGCAAUCUUUGAGGCUAUCUUCAUGUUUUGUUUAAAGUUUAUUGUUCUUUUCAUUUUAUUUUAAUUUUUUUAAAAAAAUAAUGUUUGUGAGUAUCAUCACUAAAGCUCUCACGAGACUAUAACUCAUCCACUAGGACUGCCUAAGGGUUUAAAGGCUUAUUACAUACACUAAAUGCAAUCGCGAUUACCUGUGAAAGUGGUUUAGUUAGGAUUUACUUUUUAUUUUCGUUACUUUUAUUUUUAUUUUUUUGUUUUAUGUUUUGCUCGAGAACUAGCAAAAUCUAAGUUUGGGGGUAUUUGAUGGGCAUAAUUUAUAUACAUAUUGUACCAUUAAUUAUAUAAUUAUUAGUUUUUUUUAUUUUUUUAUUUUUAAUUAAUUAAAUUAUUUUGUUGAAUAGGAAAUUAAUUGAAGAUCAAAGAUAAAAAAGGUAAUGAGGAAGUUCAAAUUGGGAAGGAAUAAAGAUUAAAUUGAAAGAUAAAAAUGCAGCUAAGAAUUAAUGAAAGUCAAAAAGACCAAAAUUGGAAUUCAAUCUCUUCAAAUAAUGAAUGGUGGGUGUGCAGUUGGACAGCAAAGAUUUGGUAAUUUGGAAUGCAUGUGCAGGGCAUUAAAAGAAGAAAUUAUUAAUUGGCCUUUUGCUUUUAAGUUAACGUGUGGCUAGCUUUCAAACCUUAAUAAGGAAACAAUUUAAAAAGGGCUUGGUGAGUGGGCUUUGUUAGGUCGGUGGGUGGCUAAGCAUUAUAAAAAGCCGACUUUGGCUUUUGAAAGAGCAGCCACCAGAGGAGAAGCCGCAAGACAGGAAGAAGAAAAGGAGUAGCAGCAAAUCAAUUUUUCCAUAACUGGUUUUAUUUUAUUUGUUACUCCCAGUGUAAGUAUGUGUAGCUAAUUUUCUUAUACUAAUGUUAAAGAUGAAGCCCUAUCCAAUGAAAUAAUUAUCUUUUAAUUAAUUCCAUAUCUAUGUUCUUUGAUGAUUAUGGUUUUUGUUUCACAUGAUUAGUUGGAUGUUAGUAAAUUCUUUUCACCAAUUCUGUCAUGCAUUAUUGAUUAAUAUUUGACUAAAUCUAUGCUUGGAUCAAUGAAGUCUAUACAUGAUUAUCUUUGAUUCUGUGUCUUUCACUAAAUUUUUACACAGAGUGCUUAGGAAACUUUGACUCUUUGUUAUUCAAUAUGUUUACAUGGGAUGCUUAGAUAUCAUACUACUAAACAGAAAAAGAACCUACAUUAGAUUUAAUUACUUGGGCUUAAUUGUUAUAUUUAUGAGAUGACAUAGAUUGAUUUCAAGUUGUCACUCUAAAAUUGAGGAUUAAUUAAUAAUUAGAUAAUUACUAGUUGAAUCGUGGUGGAUUUUGAAGUCUUGGUAAUUUUUCUCUUAUUAAAUUCUCAUUUGCUUUAAUUGUUUCCUUAGUUUAAUUAGUUUUAUCAUCGACAUCAUCGAGUGAGCAUUCAACAAUACCAUAGCUAGCCAGAAGCCCGAGUAUCCGGUCCAGCAUCGUGGGUGCGUCUUUGUUCUUGGUGGCAGGCAACUGAGCGGCAAUCUCUGACGCUGAGAGCUUUGCUCCAGGACCAGCUUUGGCUAUGAUCUCCAAAAGUCCCAGCUUAAUUACUGCUUUCAUGGUCAUGUGGAGCACUGAACCCGUCAUCACUUCACAGGCAUAUGCAAAGUUUUCGUCUCUCGCUUCAUUAGCCAUAUUUUCUUGAAUUUCCUUAUCUGUUUUCCUCAGAAACAAUGCAUUUAUAGUGGAGUGAAGAGUUACUGUGUGUCCAAGAUUUUAGGUUGUAAAAUCUGACCCCGAAGUUUUCGAUAGUUCAAGUUACUGCUGUACCGUACAUCCGCCUUGGCCGUACAGCAG